UAAGGAUAUGCUGACAUAAAUACAUAAAUCCAGUGUAUGUCCCAGUUACUCUGUCUACAAGAUUUUGUCUGUUUUGUCACCCUUUGCUUACCUUGUGAAGGAGAUGCUUAUUUCUCUUCAUCCAUCUGUGGUUCUACUGGAUUUUCUACAUACUGAGUUUUUGCCAGUUGGAACACUGAGCUGUGUUUCUGAUCAAAAUGAGUUGAGUGAUUCCAAUUUGACUGAAUGACAGAAACCCCAAAUCCUUCCAGCAUGCAGUGGUGUCAGAGAAGGAUUAUUAUGUUUUCAACAGCUCGUGGUGUACCCAGAAACAGAUAUUGUUUUCUCUUUUCAGCCCUUUUCCUUCCUUUCUGGGGACUGUAAUGCACUUAUGAGUUCAGCUGUUUAUAAUGAGGGGAUUUCAAUCUGGUUUCAGCUAAUUCUAGCAGGUCACCAGAAUCAAGCUUCAACUUCUGUAAGAAAGUCUUUCAACAGCUUUUGUAAUGAAGUUUUUGUUGAGGAAGGACAAAGAUUGCCCCGAACUUUUGCAAUGUCUCUGAAGAUGCUGUGUGUGACUGGAGGGAGGAAGAGAGAAAGAGUUUUUCCCACCUUGGAAAGGACUCCAGUGUACCUGAGGGCAGAGGUUGCUGAUAGCAGGAUACAGAUCCCCUCAAUUCUUGGGUAAUUCUGAAAUCUGUGUGGCUUUGCAUGCUCAGUU
rnacentral:lncRNA from 1 species